rnacentral:rRNA from 1 species
AGCCUGAAGCUUAACUCCAGAAAGGUCUGAAGAGACUGCAAGACUUGAGAUCGGGUGAGGUUAAACGUACUUUCAGGGUAGGGGUAAAAUCCUGUAAUCCCGGAAGGACGACCAGUGGCGAAAGCGUUUAACUAGAACGAAUCUGACGGUAAGGAACGAAGGCUAGGGUAGCAAACCGGAUUAGAUACCCGGCUAGUCCUAGCUGUAAACAUUGCCCAUUUGAUGUUCCUUUCCCGUUGAGGGAAGGCAGUGUCGGAGCGAAGGUGUUAAAUGGGCCGCUUGGGAAGUAUGGUCGCAAGACUGAAACUUAAAGGAAUUGGCGGGGGAGCACCGCAACGGGAGGAAUGUGCGGUUUAAUUGGAUUCAACGCCGGAAAACUCACCGGGAACGACCUGUGCAUGAGAGUCAACUUGACGAGCUUACUCGAUAGCAGGAGAGGUGGUGCAUGGCCGUCGUCAGCUCGUACCGUAGGGCGUUCACUUAAGUGUGAUAACGAGCGAGACCCACAUCUUUAAUUGCAAAUGUAUAUGGGAAUAUGCAUGCACUUUAGAGAAACCGCCAGCGCUAAGCUGGAGGAAGGAGUGGUCGACGGCAGGUCAGUACGCCCCGAAUUUCCCGGGCUACACGCGCAUUACAAAGAACGGGACAAUACGUUGCAACCUCGAAAGAGGGAGCCAAUCGCGAAACCCGUCCAUAG